GUACUGAUGAAGAGUCCCAGACUAGGACGAAACGGCUGUCCAGUAC
rnacentral:hammerhead_ribozyme from 1 species